UGGAGUGUAGCUGAGAUGACAGAGCGCUCGCUUAGCAUGCGAGAGAUACGGGGAUUGAUACCCCGCGCCUCCAA